rnacentral:lncRNA from 1 species
CACGCUUUAAAUGCCAGUUGAUAGCAGUUUAUGCAGACCUAGGGCCACUAAAAAGAAGCGAUAGUUAUGGCCUUGGGAACUUAAUAGAAAAUUAACGGAUUCCAAGCAAAUGAAAAAAAAAGGUCAGUUUCCACACGCUCCUUCUCCCUUUUUCUUCUGAAACUGAACAAAUUCCUUACUUAAAGCCAAACACUUCCCAUGAACAGAAAAGGAAGAAACUCGCCUAAACCAAACCAAAAACUAAAUCAAUAUUCGGAUCUUAACACCUCUCUAGCCGCAUUUAU